CCCCAGCCUUUGUAUUACUAUGGUUGGAGGGAAGCACGUAAUAAUCUUUAGAAAGGGAAUACAUGGGCUAUAUUGCACGUUAGAUGGUGAAAAUGGCCUGUCCAUGGAGAAAAGUGGACCAAGAGCUGAUGUGAAGGAGCCGCGGAUCAGGCCUUGUGUUGACCUUGGGACUUCAAAUAAGCAAAUGAGCGAAACAAGGCACUGCAUUUAGUAUCCAAGUGAUAACCUGACAACCCAUGAAGAUCAAGUGAACAGUGCCGUAAAUGUGGAAGCAGAGGAAAGCUGAAUUUCCACCCGUAUAACAUGUUUUCCUGAAACCACAAUCCUGCCUUCACAGACAGAGUUGUCAUAAUUUAACAACAAGAGAAAAGUGAAACCACAAAACCACAUCUUCAGGUUGGGAAUCUGCAAACGUUUUCUGUUAAAGGUCAGAUAAUAAAUACAUUAGAUUUUGUGACCAC
rnacentral:lncRNA from 1 species